UACGUAGGGGGCAAGCGUUGUCCGGAAUCAUUGGGCGUAAAGAGCGUGUAGGCGGCCCGGUAAGUCCGCUGUGAAAGUCCAGGGCUCAACCCUGGGAUGCCGGUGGAUACUGUCGGGCUCGAGUCCGGAAGAGGAGUGUGGAAUUCCUGGUGUAGCGGUGAAAUGCGCAGAUAUCAGGAGGAACACCAAUAGCGAAGGCAGCUCGCUGGGACGGUACUGACGCUAAGGCGCGAAAGCGUGGGGAGCAAACAGG
rnacentral:rRNA from 1 species